UGUUUGGCUUCAACACAAACGUUUGCAUGACGCUUCUUAGAAACUGCAUGAAGAGACGAUUUGAGAUGAUUCGAGAUGAUUCGAGAUGAUUCGAGAUGAUUCGAGGUGAUUCGAGGUGAUUCGAGGUGAUUCGAGACCUUCAGGAGGACUCUGAUGAAGACAGCGGCAAACAUACAAGCAGAGGAGUCUUCCUCUGAUGAAGGUCAAACCAGGGUCAGCAGCUGACCUGAGAAGCAGGAACGUACCGUUGGUCUUGCUUUGGGGGUCUCUCUGCUCACAGUCCUGCUGCCGGGCCCCCACCGUGUCCUUCAUGACGGUCAGGAGCGGGAAAGGACUCGCCGGGCCAGUUCAGCAGACAGUUGAGGACGACCAUGCAGGCCAGGCCGGACCACACCCACAUGAUGACCCGGAACGACACGCCCAGGUCAUAGAUCAGCUGUGACAGAGCGUGCACGUGCAUGUGUGCACCUUGACACCAGGAAAGGUGACGGCCGAAGACGCGUAGGAUCCGAUCAUCAGGGAGAGGAUGGUGGAUCGGAUGUUCCCAAACAUGUUCGGCAGCUGCAGGAGAGAGAAACUCCGAUCAACUUCCUGAUCGAAUGUUUCACAUUAAUUUUUAGUUUAUCUUCAUAUUUUCUCUCACUUUGUCACCAGUAAAGUAAUCAAUGCUGACUAG